GAUGAACGCUGGCGGCGUGCCUAAUACAUGCAAGUAGAACGCUGAAGGAGGAGCUUGCUCUUCUGGAUGAGUUGCGAACGGGUGAGUAACGCGUAGGUAACCUGCCUGGUAGCGGGGGAUAACUAUUGGAAACGAUAGCUAAUACCGCAUGACAACAGUUAUUGCAUGAUAACUGUUUAAAAGGGGCAACUGCUCCACUACCAGAUGGACCUGCGUUGUAUUAGCUAGUUGGUGAGGUAACGGCUCACCAAGGCGACGAUACAUAGCCGACCUGAUAGGGUGAUCGGCCACACUGGGACUGAGACACGGCCCAGACUCCUACGGGAGGCAGCAGUAGGGAAUCUUCGGCAAUGGACGGAAGUCUGACCGAGCAACGCCGCGUGAGUGAAGAAGGUUUUCGGAUCGUAAAGCUCUGUUGUAAGAGAAGAACGAGUGUGAGAGUGGAAAGUUCACACUGUGACGGUAUCUUACCAGAAAGGGACGGCUAACUACGUG
rnacentral:rRNA from 1 species